rnacentral:lncRNA from 1 species
GAUGGGUUAACCUUAUGUUCGCCUCUUCGCUACUCUGAGCCCUAGUUCUUAGAUGAUUUCUCUUGCUGCUAGUUCUAACUCCAGUUGGGUGAGGAUGCUCUAGGCUUGUGCUAAUGUUGGUUACCCUUCGAAGGCAAAGAUAACGGUCAUAAAUCCCCAGGGCUACAUGUUUUCUGGUUCAUAAUCAGCAAGGAAGAGAAUGAUGGUCUGUUCCCCAGCAUUCCCAGCAAUAACACCAGGAAAAGACUGAAUGAAAACACAGGUCUUAUGUGCACAACUGGAUCUACUGCUCUAGGGGUGGAUGCAUAGAGUGACAGAUAAACAUGUAAGGGUCUAUUAAAUCUGGUGAUGUGAAGUGAGGAGUUGUCUUACAAAAAAGGAUACUGGAGUUGUACUUGACUAUUUCUAGCUUCAAAACUUCACCAGUCACCUAGCAAAAAGUAUCUAAAAGCCUUCCAAAAACUGUCUUCUGGGAGCUUUUUUAUAUAUCCCUGUAACAGCAACAGCAACUGGAUUAAAAACUGUUUCCUUUCACCUCUUUACCUAUUCUGUUCAUUCAGGCUGUUGGCUUUGAAUUAUAGCUUGGUUAUUUAAAGAGGUAGCUUGUUCAAUAAAUACUUAAG